rnacentral:misc_RNA from 1 species
UCUCCGUAGGUGAACCUGCGGAGGGAUCAUUCGUGAAGCAGGCGCUUCGGCGCCCUUCUCUACCCUUCAACCAUGUGGUCUUCUGCCAUUGCCUCGGGGGGGGUUGAAGCGGCCUCGGCCGUUGGGGCCCAUCGCUGGGCCCCGCCCCCCCGCGUGCCCUUGAGAAAGUCUUGGAGUGAUAUUUGCGUCUGAUCAGUCCGGUGGACAUAAUGAAAAUAAAACUUUCAACAACGGAUCUCUUGGCUCUC